CUGCCUACGGGAGGCAGCAGUGAGGAAUAUUGGUCAAUGGGCGGGAGCCUGAACCAGCCAAGUCGCGUGAGGGAAGACGGUCCUAUGGAUUGUAAACCUCUUUUGUCGGGGAGCAAAGAGACCACGUGUGGUCAAAAGCGAGAGUACCCGAAGAAAAAGCAUCGGCUAACUCCGUGCCAGCAGCCGCGGUAAUACGGAGGAUGCGAGCGUUAUCCGGCUUUAUUGGGUUUAAAGGGUGCGUAGGCGCGACGGUAAGUCAGCGGUAAAAAUGCGGAGCUCACCUCCGUCGAGCCGUUGAAACUGUU
rnacentral:rRNA from 1 species